rnacentral:rRNA from 1 species
CGGCGGCGUGCUUACACAUGCAGUCGAACGGGGAUUACGAGACGGAAGGCUUCGGCUGGAAGGAUUGUAAUUCGAGUGGCGGACGGGUGAGUAACGCGUGAGCAAUCUGUCCCAGACAGGGGGAUAACACUUGGAAACAGGUGCUAAUACCGCAUAAGACCACGGCAUCACAUGGUGGAGGGGUAAAAGGUGCAAACCGGUUUGGGGUGAGCUCGCGUCCGAUUAGAUAGUUGGUGAGGUAACGGCCCACCAAGUCGACGAUCGGUAGCCGACCUGAGAGGGUGAUCGGCCACAUUGGAACUGAGAGACGGUCCAAACUCCUACGGGAGGCAGCAGUGGGGAAUAUUGGGCAAUGGGCGAAAGCCUGACCCAGCAACGCCGCGUGAGUGAAGAAGGCCUUCGGGUUGUAAAGCUCUGUUAUAGGGGACGAAGUGCGUGACGGUACCCUAUAAGGAAGCCCCGACUAACUACGUGCCAGCAGCCGCGGUAAU